rnacentral:lncRNA from 1 species
AUAGAGGAUGUCAUUACGUAUCUUUUACAUUUUGUUUAUAUCAGAGCCUUAAAAGAACUUAUAGGGCUCUGGUUUUAUAUGUCAUUGUGCGAAGGAUACUUAGAGGCACUUGAUAAAAGUCUAAAGUUUACCGAAUUCUGCCUGUAGUUCACUGGAGAUGUCCGAAAGUUGACGAAAAUUUAUAUUUUUUAAAACACAUAUUUAAAAAAGUGAAUUUAGAAUGUAUUAGAGAAAGAAAAAGUAUGACGUUCGGGCAAACAUAUACAGGAUACCUGGGAGAUCUUGGUUCCUGUGCUUCACUGCGUAUAUUAUGUAUUGCACUUUGGAAAUGAUCUACUCAAUUUUCCUCUCGAGGGACUCUUUCUCGCCUCAAAGUUCCUCCAGAUCUCUUCCUCCACCAUCUUAAGGAUUGUGGUAAUUUUUUCACAUUCGUUCAAUAGAUGAAACGAUGUCUGUCAAAAGUAACAAUGUAUUUCUUUCGGAUCUUCCCGUGACUUUUUUGUUAUAAAUAUAAAGAUAUAAAAGAA